AAUAUGACUCUCAACAAUGGAUAUCUCGGCUCUUGCCAUGAUGAAUAAUGUAGCAAAAUGUGAUACUUAGUGUGAAUUACAGAAUCCCAUGAAUCAUCGAGUCUUUGAACACAAGUUGCGCCUGAGGCCUCGGUCGAGGGCACGCCUGCUUGGGCAUCGCAC
rnacentral:rRNA from 1 species